GAUGAACGCUGGCGGCGUGCUUAACACAUGCAAGUCGAACGAAGCAUUUAGAACAGAUUACUUCGGUUUGAAGUUCUUUAUGACUGAGUGGCGGACGGGUGAGUAACGCGUGGGUAACCUGCCUUGUACUGGGGGAUAGCAGCUGGAAACGGCUGGUAAUACCGCAUAAGCGCACAAUGUUGCAUGACAUGGUGUGAAAAACUCCGGUGGUAUAAGAUGGACCCGCGUCUGAUUAGCUAGUUGGUGAGAUAACAGCCCACAAAGGCGACGAUCAGUAGCCGACCUGAGAGGGUGACCGGCCACGUUGGGACUGAGACACGGCCCAGACUCCUACGGGAGGCAGCAGUGGGGAAUAUUGCACAAUGGAGGAAACUCUGAUGCAGCGACGCCGCGUGAGUGAAGAAGUAAUUCGUUAUGUAAAGCUCUAUCAGCAGGGAAGAUAGUGACGGUACCUGACUAAGAAGCUCCGGCUAAAUACGUGCCAGCAGCCGCCGUAA
rnacentral:rRNA from 1 species